rnacentral:misc_RNA from 1 species
CAGAUGAUCACCAUCUCGAAUGACGCAUAUAUCAUCAAUUUCUGCAUUCUCAGCAUUGAUGACCCUCGCAAAUUUGUAGUCUCCAAACUUUUCACCUGCAGCGUAACAAGGCGCUACAAUGACAAAUUGGAUAAAGCAUAACAAAACAUUAUUGAAUAGCACUUGUCCUUGAUCAAAGCUCGGUGUCUGUGUUCCUUUCUUUGUUUGCAUUUAUUCUUAUGCCAAUUCAAACUUGACAUUAAUCUAUAAUUUUUGUUCCUAAUAUUUAGAUUAAUAUUCUUUUGAGAUCAAACAGAGCUUACCACCAAUUCUGAGCAGCUCUUCUAUGGAAUCAG